rnacentral:lncRNA from 1 species
AUUGAGAGAACUCUUUUCUUUCUUUCUUGGUGUCCUUCUUCCUGUGGUGUAUUAUGCAACAAGAAAGUUAAGGAAAGAAGGAAGAAAGGAAGAAAAAAGGAAAGAAGGGAGGGGGGAGACAGAGAGAGAAAGAGAAAGAAAGAAAGAAAAGACACAGAGAGAAAGAACAAAAGAAAGAAGGAGAGAAAAGGAAAGAAAGAGAAAGGAAGGGAGGAAGGAAGGAAAGAAGAAAGGAAGGAAAAAGGAGACCAGCCCACGGCUCAGUCUCAAGAAUGAAUCCCAAGUAGAAUUAUCUUUUGACUAGAGCUGACAUUCAGAUAUGCCCAAGUACGGAUGCUGAAAUCAGACUCUGCUGUGAUGUGUCAAACCUGCAUUAAGAUUAGAGAAGGCCUCUCUGAGUAAAUCACAUUUGAGUUGUGACCUAAAAUGAUGAGGAAAAAACAACACUGGGAUCACACUGGAAGAGCAGUCCAAGCAGAAGGCACAUCUAGUGCAAAGGCUUCAAGGAGGGAAAAGCCACCGUGGCUUGGUGAUGAACAAGGAGCAGAGAGGAAGGAAAUGAGGCCAGAGAGGUAAGUAGACUCUAGCUUAUGUAGCAAGUUGGAAGCCAUUUUAAGGAGUCUGUAUUUUAUUCUAAGUGUAAUGAGAGGGUUGUAGUUAGGGAGGGAAGUCAUGUAACUCAUACUUUUAAAAGUUUUUAGGUUACUAUGUGGGGGAUAGCUUGUUGGGAGGCGUCUUUACCAGUCCAUGUAAAGAUUGAUGGAGUCCUGGUCUGGGAUUGUGGCAGUGAAGAUAAUGAGAAGUGGUUGGAUUUGAGAUACAUUUGGGAGAUAGAAAAACAAACUUUCUCAAUGGAUUCAAUAUGAGAUAUGAAGGAAAGAGAAAUCAUCAAUGACUUCAAGGUUUCAUCAUAGCCUGAGAGAAUAGAUGGAUGGUGACGUCCUUCACUCAAAUAGGCUUAAAGGUGACAGAUUUUGGGGUGCAAAAGUGGGGAGCAGAUAACAGAUUUGAUGGGAUUAGUCCUAGAAGUCUCAGAGUCUAGCGAAGAGAUUAGGGGAAGGAGAUGUUGAUUGACCUGAGUAUAUGGCUGACUCUGUUUGCUCUUUACAUACCAUACAGAACCCCAUGACACACUCACAAUUCCAGAAGGUUCAGUUCAAGGGGCACUGCUAGCCUGGGCCAUGAUGUGUGCAGGGAGCCAUCACAUCCCAUGACGACCUAUGCCUGGUGUUGAACCCAAUCAUAAGUCCAAUCACCACUUCCCUUGCUGUUUGAUUACUACACAGUGAGAAACAGUGGAAGUCAUUGCUCUGCCUCAACUCUAAAGAUCUUCAGCCAUAUGGACUCUAUUUCAGUAGCCAGCUGCAUAGUAGGCCACUUCCCAUGGACAAGAGUCCAUGAACUGCUGGAGGAGACCAUAUCUUGGGUGCCCAAGAAGCACAACUAUGGUGGGCAGCCCAGGAAAUAUCUUGGGAAACACAGCUCUACCCUUCUUCAUGAUUGGAUGUCUCUUGUCUCAGAAAUACAUAACCAGAGUUGUGAUUCUUCUAGAACAAAGAAGAUCUGUCCAGGUCAACUCAUUUUCUCCAUGCUAGUUAUAGAGUUGGAUGGCAAAGUUUUCGAUGAUGCCUUUUUUCGUUAAAAGAAGAAAGAGAAGAUGUUUAAUCACCCUGAGUAGUAGACAAACAAUAAAAAUUCCAAAGACAGAAAAAUUAGCAUUUUUGUGAGAUAUAGGGAUGUCUUGGGCAAUAUUAAUGAGUCUACAUAAUAUGGAAGCCCAGUAAGUGGACUGGAUGUGCCAAGUGCUGGUCUAGGUAAUGAGUAUACCCGAAUGGACAAAGCAAAGUUUGUGACCUCAUGUAGUUUAUAUUAUAAUAGGAUAGAGAAACACUGAACAAACAAGUACAUAUAUAAUGUCACAUCCAUCAGUUCCAAGUACAAUAACCUCUUAGCAGGGUAAGGAGAGGAGUGAUAGAGGCUGCUAUGAAGGAUUAUCAGAGGUCUGUCUGAAGAGAAGUCUGAGCAAAAACCUAAAAGGAGUGAAUGACAAACCAUGUGUGUACCUCGAGGAACAGCAUUUGGACCCGUAAGAACUCACUGGGCGUGAUAGCAACUUUGGUUUUAUAUUAAGUAUCAUGGUAAAAUUGGAGAGUUAAUAACAAGUUCUUAUGAUACGGAAAGUUUCCUCAGACAGUUGGGUGCACAAUGGAGUGUAGGAGGGAAGAGUGAAGAAUUUGGAAGCUAUUGCAAUUGUUCAGAAGAAAGACGAUCGUGCUUGAAAGAGGUGCCACGUCAUCAAAUUCCAGAUGUGCUUAGAGGGAGAAGCUGCAGGAUUUACUGACGAGUUGGAUGAGGAUAUGGAAAAGAUAGAAGAAUCAAGAAUGGGCUGAGGAGCUGAGUGAAUGAUGCUUCCAUUUAUCAAAAUGGGAACACUGGAGAAUCAAGUUUGGGAGGGAAAUGAAGAGUUCUUUGCUGUAAAUGUUAAUUCCAAAAGGAGAGAUCAUGUAGCUAUUUGAUUUGGUUAUUCAAAUCAAAGGAGAGAUGCUCCAGAAAUGUACAUUUGGGCAUUAUCAGCAUACAGAUGGUAUGGUGUGGAGUCAUGGGAUUAGGUGAGAUCACCUAGAAAGUGAGUAUAGAUAAAAAAGAAAAGCAGGUCCUAGACUAGACCCUAAGGUCACCCAACAUUUCAAGCUCAGAAAGAAGAAAGGUCCAGCACCUGGGCCUGAGAAAGACGGGCCAGAGUGGUAAGAGGAAAUGCAGGAGAGGUGGAUUCCUUGGAAAUCAAUGGAGUAAAAUGUUUCCAGAAGAGGAAUGAUGCAGCGUCGAAUCUUUCUGAUGGAUCAAGAGACUGACAAUUGACCUAUCCUGUAAAAGGAAAAUCAGUGUGACCUAAAAAUAAGAUUUCAGCAGAGUGAUGGGGAUGAAGACCCGAUUAGAAUGUUUCUAAAAAAGAGGGAAGAGAGGACAUUAGGUUAGAAGUAGAAACCACUCUUUGAGUAUGCUUUGCUGUGUCCAGGACCAGAGAAAUGGGAGGAAGCAUCCUAACUGAAGGGGAUGUGGGGUCAAGCCUGGGUUUAUCUGUUUUUAUCAUGGAGAAUUUAUAGCUUAUUUGCAACAAUUAUUUAACAAAAAUGGAAAAGAAUUGUGACGUGUGCUUUUACAGGCAGUACAUAUUGUAGAAAUCAACUAAUUUACAUAAAAAUUAUCCAUGCCAUUCUGACAAUAAUGUUAGUAUUUUUCCGCC